AACGAACGCUGGCGGCAUGCCUAACACAUGCAAGUCGAACGAGACCUUCGGGUCUAUUGGCGCACGGGUGCGUAACGCGUGGGAACCUGCCCUUAGGUUCGGAAUAACUCCCCGAAAGGGGUGCUAAUACCGGAUAAUGUCUUCGGACCAAGGAUUUAUCGCCUUUGGAUGGGCCCUCGUUGGAUUAGCUAGUUGGUAGGGUAAAAGCCUACCAAGGCGACGAUCCAUAGCUGGUCUGAGAGGAUGAUCAGCGACACUGGGACUGAGACACGGCCCAGACUCCUACGGGAGGCAGCAGUGGGGAAUAUUGGACAAUGGGCGAAAGCCUGAUCCAGCAAUGCCGCGUGAGUGAUGAAGGCCUUAGGGUUGUAAAGCUCUUUUACCCGGGAUGAUAAUGACAGUACCGGGAGAAUAAGCUCCGGCUAACUCCGUG
rnacentral:rRNA from 1 species